UCCUGGGAUCCCAGAACAGCUGGGCUGGAAGGGACCUCGAAAAGGGAAUUGCCAACACAUGCCCCGUACCAGGCCCUGAGCCCGGCCUUUUCGUGAACAUUGUCUUAACACUUCUAACUCCACUUUGAGAAAUGGCAGCGGGAAGGCAGCAGAUGGACUGCGACUCCCGUCAGUACCCGCUGGCCCCAGCGUCCUAUUGUCCUCAUCAUAGCACCAGCGUCCGCAGGACUACGACUUCCGUCGUGCCCUGCGCGUAUCCGUCCUGGAAAGAGGAGGUGGUGGGGAAAGGAGGGGGCAGGGGGCGGGGUUCCUCUGGGAGAAGGAGGGAGUAGAGAGGAGGAGGAGGAGGGAAGGAGGAGGGAGGGGAGGGGGAAGAGAGGAGGAAGGAGCUCAGGAGGGAUGAGAGAGGCGGCCAGGGCCCCGGGCCGAAGCUGCGCGGGGCCGGGGGACCAGGGGGGCUGAGGCACCCCAAUUGCCCCCUGCCCCUUUCCCUGCCCUUUCCAUCUUUUCCUUCCACCUUCCUGCUUGAGGAAGGGGAUUUAUUCAAAUUUUAUUUAAAUCCCUAUCUCCGGAGG
rnacentral:lncRNA from 1 species